CAGGUCUCCAUGUAACCCAGGUCCCCAUGUAACCCAGGUCUCCAUGUAACCCAGGUCCCCAUGUAACCCAGGUCUCCAUGUAACCCAGGUCUCCAUGUAACCAAAAUCCCCAUGUAACCCAGGUCCCCAUGUAACCAUGUAACCCCAGUCCCCAUGUAACCCAGGUCCCCAUGUAACACCAGUCCCCAUGUAACCCCAGUCCCCAUGUAACCCAGGUCUCCAUGUAACCCAGGUCCCCAUGUAACCCAGGUCCCCAUGUAUUUCCCCAUGUAACCCAGGACUCCAUGUAACCCAGGUCUCCAUGUAACCCAGGUCCCCAUGUAUUUCCCCAUGUAACCCAGGACUCCAUGUAACCCAGGUCCCCAUGUAACCAUGUCACCCAGGUCCCCAUGUAACCCAGGUCCCCAUGUAACCCAGGACUCCAUGUAACCCAGGUCCCCAUGUAACCCAGGUCCCCAUGUAACCCAGGACUCCAUGUAACCCCAGUCACCAUCUAUUUCCCCAUGUAACCCAGGUCCCCAUGUAACCCAGGUCUCCAUGUAACCCCAGUCACCAUAUAUUUCCCCAUGUAACCCAGGUCUCCAUGUAACCCCGGUCCUGAGGAGAAGGGAAUGGCAGGCUGAAUACCACUACCCAAAACACACACACACACAGAGAGAGAGAGAACACCAAGGUCAUCCCUAGCUCACAUUCUCUGCUCUGGUCAACGAUUGUAUUCAGGUUGUCGUGGAGACCCCAGCGCCACGGACACCAAACACUUUGUUUGCAGAGGUCAGAAGAACCCAAAUCACCC
rnacentral:lncRNA from 1 species